rnacentral:rRNA from 1 species
UACAGAGGUCUCAAGUGUUGUUCGGAUUCAUUGGGCGUAAAGGGUGUGUAGGUGGCGCCGUAAGUCGGGUGUGAAAUUUCGGAGCUUAACUCCGAAACUGCAUUCGAUACUGCGGUGCUUGAGGACUGGAGAGGAGACUGGAAUUCAUGGUGUAGCAGUGAAAUGCGUAGAGAUCAUGAGGAAGACCAGUGGCGAAGGCGGGUCUCUGGGCCGAUACUGACGCUGAGGAGCGAAAAGCGUGGGGGAGCGAACAGG